rnacentral:rRNA from 1 species
AGUUCAGAUUGCAGGCUGCAACUCGCCUGCAUGAAGUUGGAAUUGCUAGUAAUCGUGGAUCAGCAUGCCACGGUGAAUACGUUCCCGGGGCUUGUACACACCGCCCGUCAAACUAUGAGAGCCGGUAACACCCGAAGUCAGUAGCCUAACCGCAAGGAGGGCGCUGCCGAAGGUGGGAUUGGUAAUUGGAGUUAAGUCGUAACAAGGUACC